rnacentral:rRNA from 1 species
UACGAGGGGUGCAAGCGUUGCUCGGAAUUAUUGGGCGUAAAGGGUAGGUAGGUGGUCUCAUUUGUCAGGGGUGAAAGCCUUGGGCUUAACCCAAGAAGUGCCCCUGAAACGGUGAGACUAGAGUGCUGGAGAGGGUCGUGGAAGUUCCCGGGUGUAGCGGUGAAAUGCGUAGAGAUCGGGAGGAACACCAGAGGCGAAGGCGGCGACCUGGACAGCUACUGACACUCAACUACGAAAGCGUGGGGAGCAAACAGG